rnacentral:lncRNA from 1 species
UAGCAAACAUUUCAAACAUUAAAAUAUUUAAAUAUAAACAAAAUACAAUCACCUCUAAGAAACAAAGGGGAAGAGCAGAACAAUCAGCAUACAGCAUAGAAGAGAUGACAGCAUAGAAGAGAUGAAACCUCCUCAACAGCUGAACUCCAUGAGCUCCAAAUGCUCCUACAGGUGAUGGGAAAUGGGACAGCCAGGGAGGCUGCAUAAGAGCAGCCCUCGUACCAAAGUGUUUGCAGUACACAAGAGGCUUUGCAGAGCACCUGUAUGUGGGAGGUGCCUGGCUCCUGUGGACUGUCCUUAGGAAUCAAAUCUUGUCUUGAAAAACGGCCCUUAAAUAGACGCGAGGAUGAUUUGACAGCUUGGAUUCACAAUGAGGAAGUCUGCCCAAGGAUGAUCCUGUACUGACUGCAAAGUUGUGGGGUAACAGGCUGGAUCCUGCGUGGUCCUUUCUUGUCUUGGAGGACCCUUGUUAAAGGCACAACAAGAAGCUGGGUGACUGUCAGAUAUCACUCAGAAAAUUUUGGAAGAUACCAGCAGGAGUCUUCAUGGCAAAAGGCAAGUGAAGACGAACCUCUUCAGAGAUUAAGCGCUACUGCACAGUGUUACAAAGGAUUAAGGACACAGGAGCAGCAGAGGUGUUGGCUCUUGGAAGUAGGGGAGGAAGAAGUGAAGUCCCGUCCAUACAGCAGACCUUCCUGUUGCAGGAGGUUGCUGGAGCAGGAGACUUGGCUCCUUUGGAGAAUAGCACUUCUUGCUGCUGGUAGGGCCUGGUCCUGA